ACUCCUACGGGAGGCAGCAGUGGGGAAUAUUGCACAAUGGGCGCAAGCCUGAUGCAGCCAUGCCGCGUGUAUGAAGAAGGCCUUCGGGUUGUAAAGUACUUUCAGCAGUGAGGAAGGUGGGUAUGUUAAUAGCAUAUUCAUUUGACGUUAGCUGCAGAAGAAGCACCGGCUAACUCCGUGCCAGCAGCCGCGGUAAUACGGAGGGUGCGAGCGUUAAUCGGAAUUACUGGGCGUAAAGCGCAUGCAGGUGGUUUGUUAAGUCAGAUGUGAAAGCCCGGGGCUCAACCUCGGAAUUGCAUUUGAAACUGGCAAACUAGAGUACUGUAGAGGGGGGUAGAAUUUCAGGUGUAGCGGUGAAAUGCGUAGAGAUCUGAAGGAAUACCGGUGCGAAGGCGGCCCCCUGGACAGAUACUGACACUCAGAUGCGAAAGCGUGGGGAAGCAAACAGGAUUAGAUACCCUGGUAGACUCU
rnacentral:rRNA from 1 species